AGCAUGUGGACCAGUAUUUCCUUUCUCCCACAGAUCUGUCUUGGUAUGAUUUCUCUGGUGGAGGGAGUGAGCCUUGCACAUAAUUUGCCAGCACCACGGCAUAGACAGCAAGCACCACUUAAAACACAAAAUGGACUACAAGAUUUUAGUACACUGCUUGAUGACUAUUUGCAAAUAUCAAGAAUCAAAACAGUUCCCCACUGUGAAAGCUACCUUCAGCUCUUUUCAAGUGACACUGAUGUCAGUAGAUUUAGAAAGAGGAUAAUGACAGCCUUGAGAAACAGCUAUGAUACAAACCCGCAUUCUUACAGAACAGGUAGCUUAAACCUAGCAGCCUCAUCAACAAGAAUCCUGUAGUGCAAAAAAAAGGCUAAAUGCUUCCUUGGAGUUUCAAGGACCAAAGGAAUCAAUCACCACUAGUAUUUAACAUGACUUUUAGUCAAAGAAAAAUAUGACAUUCAUCCUGAAGUGGGAUUAAAGA